UACAGAGGUCCCAAGCGUUGUUCGGAUUCAUUGGGCGUAAAGGGUGCGUAGGUGGCGCUGUAAGUCGGGUGUGAAAUUUCGGAGCUUAACUCCGAAACUGCAUUCGAUACUGCGGUGCUUGAGGACUGGGGAGGAGACUGGAAUUCAUGGUGUAGCAGUGAAAUGCGUAGAGAUCAUGAGGAAGACCAGUGGCGAAGGCGGGUCUCUGGACAGUUCCUGACACUGAGGCACGAAGGCCAGGGGAGCAAACGGG
rnacentral:rRNA from 1 species